rnacentral:tRNA from 1 species
ACGAAAUCCGUUGGCUUUUAGACCGUGAGGGUUCAAGUCCCUCUACCCCCA